UGGAUGCUGCCCAAGACCCAGAGCUGCACUCGCCCAGCUUGCACCAGCCAGCAUCCACACAUGAGCUCCUCCACCCUACACUGCUCCCAGCAGGUCAAUAGGGGUGUGUCCCAUACCUGAGAUGCCACCUAAAACACUACCUACAGAAACAAAGUACUACUUGGACAACCCCAGGAAGACUGAUGCCAUGACUGAUGCAUUUCCUUAGCUUCACAUGCAGAGAACAGUUCGGACAUACAAGGAAGUAUUCCACAUCAAUCAGUCUCACAGAAAGGCAUCUCGUGAUGCCCAGAGCAUCAGUACACCCUGAGCUCCAGAACAGGCACCACAGCAGCAGGCUGGAGCACCUGGGAGCACUGGGCUCCCCAGCAGUACCCAUCUGCCUUGGAGAAGCAAUAAAACCACGCACAUACUUAUCAUCCUGACAUCUCCCCCACCUCUUACCAUGUGUCCAUCAACCUCCAGCUCACAGAAAUCAUACCAAUUCAGAGACUCAUUUAUUAAAGUCAACACAGUCCUCUUCUACAGUUUUAAUGUCAGUAAAUCUGGAUUCAUUCUGAGCCAACAAACCACUAAGACUGGUUGGGAACAAGUUUUUCCUCUUGUGUUAAAUAAGCAUCUGCUGAAAACACAGAAUUAAUCCACUGGCUGGGAAGCACAACAGUCUGGAUCACUCCUUCAGCCAGUGACCUCCCCACCUCUGGCAGGCUGCUCCAAGCCUCUGGAAAUGCAGGUACACAAACAACUGCAAUAAACCCAUGCAACACUGCCACUCAAGAGCACUGUCCCAGCUCUCACUUCUCAUUGCACUGGUCCCUCCUUUACCCCAGCACACACAGCACUUGGGUUUAGCCCGUGCAAAGAGCUAAAAGCUCCUCUAAUUAUUGCUGCUAAUAAAGCACUGGGAUGGACUCCCCACCACCACACCAAGCACAUGCUGACACUGGGACUGCACAAGAGGAGCAGGGGCUGGCAGCAAGAACAAGACCUCCCCCAGCAUCAACAGCUUUUACGUUCCCCUGGCUGUCAGACCGAAAAACAACAGAUAAAAGCAACGAUGUGGGACAGAAAUCCUGAAGCACCACUGGAAGGACACUGGGG